rnacentral:lncRNA from 1 species
UUAGAUCAACAGAGGAGGAUAUUUUUGCCACCGCCACCUGGAAUUAGAAAAUGUGUCAUAUCCACCAAUAUUUCUGCAACGUCUUUGACAAUAGAUGGAAUCAGAUAUGUGGUAGAUGGUGGCUUUGUGAAGCAGUUAAACCACAACCCCAGAUUAGGGUUGGACAUCCUGGAGGUGGUUCCAAUUUCAAAGAGCGAGGCAUUACAGCGAAGUGGCCGAGCUGGCAGGACUUUUUCAGGAAAAUGCUUUCGGAUCUAUAGUAAAGAUUUUUGGAACCAGUGUAUGCCUGACCAUGUGAUCCCUGAAAUUAAGAGAACUAGUUUGACAUCUGUAGUUUUGACCUUAAAGUGCCUUGCCAUACACGAUGUCAUAAGGUAUGUAGAUAACUAGAAAAAAAAAAAAAAACUUGUUAGCCUGGAACCAAGUUAUUGGCUCAAAAAUUAUUUUGAAAUAUUUGACUGAUACAUCCCUG